rnacentral:rRNA from 1 species
GACGAACGCUGGCGGCGUGCUUAACACAUGCAAGUCGAACGAAGAGCGAUGGAAGCUUGCUUCUAUCAAUCUUAGUGGCGAACGGGUGAGUAACGCGUAAUCAACCUGCCCUUCAGAGGGAGACAACAGUUGGAAACGACUGCUAAUACCGCAUACGAUCCAAUCUCGGCAUCGAGACUGGAUGAAAGGUGGCCUCUAUUUAUAAGCUAUCACUGAAGGAGGGGAUUGCGUCUGAUUAGCUAGUUGGAGGGGUAACGGCCCACCAAGGCGAUGAUCAGUAGCCGGUCUGAGAGGAUGAACGGCCACAUUGGGACUGAGACACGGCCCAGACUCCUACGGGAGGCAGCAGUGGGGAAUCUUCCGCAAUGGACGAAAGUCUGACGGAGCAACGCCGCGUGAGUGAUGACGGCCUUCGGGUUGUAAAGCUCUGUUAAUCGGGACGAAUGGUUCUUGUGCAAAUA